rnacentral:rRNA from 1 species
AUGGGUUCUAUUCCCAAACCGUGUAUACAUACCUUUGUUGCUUUGGCAGGCCGCCUUUUAGGCGUCGGCUCCGGCUGACUGCGCCUGCCAGAGGACCCAAACUCUUUUGUUUAGUGAUGUCUGAGUACUAUAUAAUAGUUAAAACUUUCAACAACGGAUCUCUUGGUUCUGGCAUCGAUGAAGAACGCAGCGAAAUGCGAUAAGUAAUGUGAAUUGCAGAAUUCAGUGAAUCAUCGAAUCUUUGAACGCACAUUGCGCCCCUUGGUAUUCCGAGGGGCAUGCCUGUUCGAGCGUCAUUAUAACCACUCAAGCCUCGGCUUGGUCUUGGGGUUCGCGGUCUCGCGGCCCUUAAAAUCAGUGGCGGUGCCGUCUGGCUCUAAGCGUAGUAAUUUUCUCGCUAUAGGGUCCAGGCGACCACCUGCCAUAACCCCCCAUUCUUUACGGUUGACCUCGGAUCAGGUAGGGAUACCCGCUGAACUUAAGCAUAUCAAUAAGGCGGAGGA